GACGAACGCUGGCGGCGUGCUUAACACAUGCCAGUCGAACGGAAAGGCCCUGCUUUUGUGGGGUGCUCGAGUGGCGAACGGGUGAGUAACACGUGAGUAACCUGCCCUUGACUUUGGGAUAACUUCAGGAAACUGGGGCUAAUACCGGAUAGGAGCUCCUGCUGCAUGGUGGGGGUUGGAAAGUUUCGGCGGUUGGGGAUGGACUCGCGGCUUAUCAGCUAGUUGGUGGGGUAGUGGCUUACCAAGGCUUUGACGGGUAGCCGGCCUGAGAGGGUGACCGGCCACAAUGGGCCUGAGAUACGGACCAGACUCCUACGGGAGGCAGCAGUGGGGAAUAUUGCACAAUGGGCGGAAGCCUGAUGCAGCAACGCCGCGGUCGGGAUGACGGCCUUCGGGGUGUAAACCGCUUUCGCCUGUGACGAAGCGGGAGUGACGGUAAUGGGUAAAGAAGCACCGGCUAACUACGUG
rnacentral:rRNA from 1 species